rnacentral:lncRNA from 1 species
UUUAGUGGGCUACUUUAAUAGUUACCACUAAAAACGUCAAAAGAUAAGGAUAAAACUGAACAUUUCAAUUAACUUUUUGAUCAAAUAAAUAUGGGUAUCACCAUAAACAUUUCACUUUCUCCUCCACGAACGAUCUAUUUCAAAAUCAAUAAAUGAUUUCAUGAUAUGACAUCACAUCAAGUAAUAAUUUUAAAUAAAGUUACUUGUUUUCAAAAAGACUAAUUAAAGUUACUUGUUUCCGGAAAAUUUUUGAGACCAGAUUAAUGAAAUCGUAAAAGAAAAAAGACUGUUCACGUAGAUCAAUUUUAGUUUUCUCAGCAAAUUUAGACAAGUAACAAACUGUCAAUGUUGUCGAUGUCCACUGGUAAUAAAUACUAGUAAACUAUAAUGUUUUUUUAUUAUUGUAUGGUUAUAUGAAACAAAUAGAAGUCCAUUUUAUUUACUGGAUGUCCAA